AUUGAACGCUGGCGGCAUGCCUAACACAUGCAAGUCGAACGAGUGGCGGACGGGUGAGUAAGGUCUGGGAAACUGCCAGAUGGAGGGGGAUAACUACUGGAAACGGUAGCUAAUACCGCAUACCAUCAGCUCUGCCCAGAUGUGAUUAGCUAGUUGGUGGGGUAACGGCUCACCAAGGCGACGAUCCCUAGCUGGUCUGAGAGGAUGACCAGCCACACUGGGACUGAGACACGGUCCAGACUCCUACGGGAGGCAGCAGUGGGGAAUCUUGGACAAUGGGCGCAAGCCUGAUGCAGCCAUGCCGCGUGUAUGAAGAAGGCCUUCGGGUUGUAAAGGACUUUCGGCGGGGAGGCGGUACCCGCAGAAGAAGCACCGGCUAACUACGUGCCAGCAGCCGCGGUAAUAC
rnacentral:rRNA from 1 species